rnacentral:lncRNA from 7 species
GGAGGCUUGUAACCUGUAACAUACAAAAUGUGUGUUUCCUGUUGUAGUGGAGAUGCUAAGUCAUGGCCUGAACCAGUAAUUGAGCACCUGGUGUGAAGGCAGGGCCAACCCGGAGGAGCUCAGGUGCAUGCAAUGCAAUGCUCCUGACCGGAAGGGCUGGAGCCAGGAUCCACCCCUUCCCAGACCUCAUUUAAGGGUUGGCAGUGGAGUGACUAACUUCCGAAAUGAUGGUUUCAGUAUGUGUAGUGGAAAUGCCAAGUCAUGGCCUGAAGCAGUGGUUGAGCAUCUGGUGGGAAGGCAAGGCCAACAUGGGAGAGCUCAGGUAACAUGCAGUGUACUGAAUGACUGGAACGGCUGGAGCCAGGAUCCACCACUUCUCAGACCUCAUUGAAGAGUUGGUAAUGGAGGUGAGGACACCUCUUCUGGAGAUCCCUGCAUACCUGAGGACCUUGCAAGCCUUUUGAAGGCAGGGCAGUUUAUUCAGGAAUGUUUCAACAUAGAAGCAGUUCUUCUGUCCUGCAACUUUCUACAAGCCCUGAUUAUCUCGAGAAGCAAUUUGAGGAACUUCUGCAGACUUGCUGACGUUCCCAUCAUUGUUUUGCUUGCUUAUUCAUACUCUUCUUGUUUGUGUUCUUGAGAAUGAUGCAGGUAGAAAUAACUCGUAACUAUAUCAUUAUGCCAGUGGGUUAGUUUCUUUUUUUAAUAGUGUCCAAAAGAGAAUGAUUUUUAAAACUGAACUUUAAAAACCUCUUUUAUGCAUACAUGUUUUGGAAUGUCUUCAUGCUUCACGUGUUCUGAUGUUUUUUCUUCACUUUCAUAGCUGCUUGUAAUAUUAACUAUAUGCUCAUAAAUAAAAAAGCAGCUUUCUUGCCUGAAGGAAGUUUAUUGUGUUUGUAAAAGAUUGGUUCAGGGAGUUGAAUUCCACUGGACCACACACACUUGCAGGAGCAGUCAUAAAUUUUGCAAUUGCAAGCGUGGUUAAAUCUUUUAUUUAUAUAGUAACGUACUUUUCAUACUGUCAGAAAACAGUGAGCAGAAUGUACUUCUGGUACAUCUGUCUUAAUGUCAGGAAAAUCUGCCAGUUUACAAUUUCCAAACAAAUUGUUUGUUGUAAUAUCAAGCAUCAGUCUUCAGCAUGAGAUCUCGAGUACUAAAUUAAACAAGUCCUCUCUUACUAUAAAUAGGCAAACGUGUUUCGAUAAGUUAAUUUCAAAAGAAACCACCUUAAUCGUAUGCAAAAUAUUGUGGAAAAAUAUAAAUUGUGAAAGUCUAUUUAAUUACAACUGGCAAGCAGAGGGAGCUGGACAGAUUGUGGUUUUAAUUUUCAGCACUGCCUAUGGGGCUAAAGAAUCUCUGCUCUCCCAGAACUGUUUAUAAUGCAUCUGAUGUAACUGUGCCAUCUCAGAUUUCUGAAAUACGUGAAUUUUGGAGUAAAGUUGCAACAAAAAGACUAAACCUGGACAUAGGUCUGUCAUUAGUGUUUCUUUAACUCCAUCUGCUUGAUCUACUUGUGUAUACAUGUAUACACGUGCUAAUUAAUUUAGAAGUAAGCAAUGUGUGUUUCAAAGCUUGUUCAAGUGUUUGUUAGGAGGCUGUUUUUUUCCUUUCACAUUUGCACCACUUGAUCUAAUUACAGGUAUUAUGUCUCCCAGUAAACCUUGUCUGGCUUAUAUAUUCACAUAAAUGCAGCUGUGACAGCAUUAGUUAUAUUUGCCAUCUUUUGCAUGUACAUUGCAGCCAGUUUGUGUAGAAGUGUAAAAUAAGUCAGAAUUUGAUGCAUUAGCUGAUCGAGUACAUGUUAAUAAUUAGAUUAUUUUAAUUUAUAUUCCAUUUCAAAUUAUUUAUUUAUAUUUUAAGAAGCUUUUACUAUAUUUAUUUUAGCUAUUAAGAAUAGCUGUAGAAGAUGCAUAACAGAAGUGAUGACUAGGAAAGCAACUUGUUUGUUUCUUAGCAAAUAAAUGAGCAACUUUGAAGUUCUGUUUGGCAUUCAAAGCUCUGCCCGUGAAACAAUAAAAUUCCAAAAGGCUGUUUCUUCACAGCAUUCUGGUUAGAAUAGUUUCCAGAUCAUUAAUUAAUAGAAUAGGAAAUGUUUUUUUGAAUGCUUAAUCUGGAUAAUAAAUAUGCAGAUCAAUUU